GAUGAACGCUGGCGGCGUGCCUAAUACAUGCAAGUCGAGCGAACAGACGAGGAGCUUGCUCCUCUGACGUUAGCGGCGGACGGGUGAGUAACACGUGGAUAACCUACCUAUAAGACUGGGAUAACUUCGGGAAACCGGAGCUAAUACCGGAUAAUAUAUUGAACCGCAGGGUUCAAUAGUGAAAGACGGUUUUGCUGUCACUUAUAGAUGGAUCCGCGCCGCAUUAGCUAGUUGGUAAGGUAACGGCUUACCAAGGCAACGAUGCGUAGCCGACCUGAGAGGGUGAUCGGCCACCCUGGAACUGAGACACGGUCCAGACUCCUACGGGAGGCAGCAGUAGGGAAUCUUCCGCAAUGGGCGAAAGCCUGACGGAGCACCGCCGCGUGAGUGAUGAAGGUCUUCGGAUCGUAAAACUCUGUUAUUAGGGAAGAACAAAUGUGUAAGUAACUAUGCACGUCUUGACGGUACCUAAUAAGAAAGCCACGGCUAACUACGUG
rnacentral:rRNA from 1 species